AUAAGAGCACUGAAUGCGUCAUUAGAAGACGUAGCAGGCGUGGUGGAGAUCGUGAUAAGCUAAGCAGCAAGCCGGUGUGACAGCAAGACCUGGAAGCGGAUCAGCAAUGAGCCAAGAUUUCAAAAAAUGUUUAGUACGUUGGCCACAUAAAUAAAUUCAAAAUUCCACCAAAAAAGGAGGGCAUAGCUUUCCUCUUCCUUGGAAUUUUGUAUCCAGUUCUGGGGAAAAUGGCAAGCUGAAAUUAAUCCACAGGAGAGCUAUCAUGAUCGUGGGGUCUGCGAACCAUGAAAGAUGUCUGAACACCUGCAACCGAUGAAAACCCAAAACUAAGAUUCGGAGAGACCUGUAAGCAGUGGUCACAUAUUUGAAGUGCUGACCUGGAAAGAAAGGAUUACACUUUUUAUUGCAUGCGAUUCUGGAGGGCAGAGAAAGGACCAAUGCGUAUAAAUUACAAAGAGACCCCUGAGAACUCCAUAUCAUGGUGUUCAGAAAUUGUGUAAAGUCCAAUCACCAAACUCUUCCAGGAGAGAGAAUGUGACUCAGUGCUAUCCCAGUAUGUAAUGAAGCUUCACCAAACUGGGUCAAGAGCAUUUAAAGCAAGUGUCAAGGAUCAUAUUUACAGGCUCAGAAGAAUCACAAAGACCAUGUGCAACAUACCUAUAGUUGGAUCAAAAUAGAAGAGUAAUGGCUUGUGAGGAAGAUGGAGUAAAUCACCUGUCACUUCUGUGGUCUAAGAUAAACACGCUCCUUGAAAUUUGGGACACCUGGGGGUUUUUUGUCGACCGAUGAGACGAAGUGGGUUGUGAAAACGGCACUUCUGAAACACCAAGGUUUAAAAUUCUUCUUUAACGUUCAACAAGCUAACCGUGAGAUUUUGUAAAAACCCACGAAUAGUGACAAAAAGUUGAGCCUAGGCUUUGGAGAUGAGCACAACCAGCUUGGUCUCCUGUUUCUGCCUCUCACUGCCCGGUGACCCUCGUGUAUACUUAGAAUGCCUCAGUUUCCCAGUCAGGGUUCCCACAUCGCAUCUGAGUGUCAUGUCUCUUUAAUCUCCUUUAAUGUAAGACAACUGCCUUGUACUUUUAAAAAAUUCAUUGCUGUUGUCUGUCUUGACAUUGACCUUUUUGAGUAAUUCGGGACAAUUGUUUUGGAGAAUGUCCUACAUUCUGAAUUUGUACUAUUAUGUCCUCAUGAUUAAAUUCAUAUUUAAAAUGCUUGGCGGGGCGCCUGGGUCGCUCAGUCAGUUAAGUGUCCGACUUUAGCUCAGGUCGUGAUCUCACGGCUGGUGAGUUUGAACCCCUCGCCGGGCUCUGUGCUCUCAGUGCAGAGCCCGCUCUGGAUGUUCUGUCUCCCUCUCUCUUUACCCCUCCGGCCCUCUUUCUCUCUCUCAAAAAUAAAUAAACAUUAAUUUUUAUUUUAAUGCCUGGCAAGAAUACUUCAAACUUGAUGUAUCCUUCUCAUUGCAUCUUGCCAAAUGGCAAAUAAUAGUCCCGUUACUACGAAUACCAAGUUGAUUACUUGUUUAAGGUAAUUUCUGUCAGAGCUCUUUAUUCCAAAGAAACUUCUCUUUGUAAUUAAUAAAUAAUAUUUGGUGAAGUAAAAAUUUUAAACUGUAUGAAUAUUUAGUUCCUCAAAAAAAUUUCGCCCAGUGGUUUUAGCAUCCAUUAAUUAUUCUUCCAUGAAACAUUUAUUCACUUAUCAUUUAUUUAUUUAGGUUUGCAAAACGGCAAAUUUUUUUUUUAAUUUUUUUUAACGUUUAUUUAUUUUUGAGACAGAAAGAGACAGAGCAUGAACAGGGGAGGGUCAGAGAGA